rnacentral:misc_RNA from 1 species
CCGAAACAUACUGGUGGCUAAACAGUCUAAACGAAGCGAGACCCACGACGGCGCCCGUUUUUGAACCGUUGUUCUUUAUACGCGCGCUCGAGGUUCUAACCCCGUGAAAGAAAUUUGCGUUAUGCGAAGUCGGGCGAGGGGCGCCUCGCCAGUGUGCCCGCUUUUGCGCCNNUUGCAAACCAAAGCGCACCCCAAUUUUCAACCCCACAAAACUCUUAAUCUGAACUAAAAAGGGGGGGUGGUCAGUCGUCUUCACCGGGGGGGGGGCCCUUAACCUUUAACGUU